GAUUGAACGCUGGCGGUAUGCUUAACACAUGCAAGUCGAACGGAAACGAUACUAGCUUGCUAGUAGGCGUCGAGUGGCGGACGGGUGAGUAACGCGUAGGAAUCUGCCUGAUAGUGGGGGAUAGCCCGAAGAAAUUCGGAUUAAUACCGCAUAAUCUAUUCGUAGUAAAGUGGGGGACUUUCGAGCCUCACGCUAUCAGAUGAGCCUGCGUAAGAUUAGCUUGUUGGUAGGGUAAAAGCCUACCAAGGCGACGAUCUUUAGCUGGUCUGAGAGGAUGAUCAGCCACAUCGGGACUGAGACACGGCCCGAACUCCUACGGGAGGCAGCAGUGGGGAAUAUUGGACAAUGGGGGCAACCCUGAUCCAGCAAUACCGCGUGUGUGAAGAAGGCCUGAGGGUUGUAAAGCACUUUCAAUUGUGAAGAAAAGUUAGCGGUUAAUAACCGUUAGCCUUGACGUUAACUUUAGAAGAAGCACCGGCUAACUCCGUGCCAGCAGCCGCGGUAAUACGGAGGGUGCAAGCGUUAAUCGGAAUUACUGGGCGUAAAGCGUGCGUAGGCGGUUUAUUAAGUCAGAUGUGAAAGCCCCCGGGCUUAACCUGGGAACUGCAUUUGAAACUGGUCAACUAGAGUAUGGUAGAGGAAAGUGGAAUUUCUGGUGUAGCGGUGAAAUGCGUAGAUAUCAGAAGGAACAUCAAUGGCGAAGGCAGCUUUCUGGACCAAUACUGACGCUGAGGUACGAAAGCGUGGGUAGCAAACAGGAUUAGAUACCCUGGUAGUCCACGCCGUAAACGAUGAUAACUAGCCGUUGGGGGGAUUUACCCUUUAGUGGCGAAGCUAACGCGUUAAGUUAUCCGCCUGGGGAGUACGGCCGCAAGGUUAAAACUCAAAGGAAUUGACGGGGACCCGCACAAGCGGUGGAGCAUGUGGUUUAAUUCGAUGCAACGCGAAGAACCUUACCUGGUCUUGACAUCCUGCGAACUUUCUAGAAAUAGAUUGGUGCCUUCGGGAACGCAGUGACAGGUGCUGCAUGGCUGUCGUCAGCUCGUGUCGUGAGAUGUUGGGUUAAGUCCCGUAACGAGCGCAACCCCUAUCCUUAUUUGCCAGCACAUCAUGGUGGGAACUAUAAGGAGACUGCCGGUGAUAAACCGGAGGAAGGCGGGGACGACGUCAAGUCAUCAUGGCCCUUACGACCAGGGCUACACACGUGCUACAAUGGGAAGGACAAAGAGCCGCGAAGCCGCGAGGUGUAGCUAAUCUCAUAAACCUUUUCGUAGUCCGGAUUGGAGUCUGCAACUCGACUCCAUGAAGUCGGAAUCGCUAGUAAUCGUAGAUCAGAAUGCUACGGUGAAUACGUUCCCGGGUCUUGUACUCACCGC
rnacentral:rRNA from 1 species